GUAUAUUUAACAAAAGGGAGUUUCUCUUCCCCUUAUUUAAACCAGUAUAUUUCUUGUAUUAAAUUAAAUCAAUUUCCUCUUGUUUCAGUCCUUUGAUCUGUAGGCAUGGUUCUACACUGAGAGACGCCUUGUAAAGAAGAGUCUUAGUUGGAGCAGAGCACUGCUCUUUCUUACCAUCACUGUCUUCUUCCUCUUUGUCGUUGUUCCUGCCCUGCUGGUUGAAAUGUAGACUUCAGUGACUCGUCACCUGGACUGCUUUCCAUUUAGACCAGAAAGCUUACUAGGUGAGACUAACUUACUUACAGCAAGUCACCAAGGGAAGAGGUGCCAUUACUUUCUACUGACAGACUUAGAUAAAGCUUGAAGUGUGAAGCCACAUUUUAAAUAAGGAGAAGAGGAAAUAUGUGUCUUGUUCAUGGUUUCAGGAGCUUCAAAAGUGAUUUGAAAACAAACAAAAAAAAUUUGGAAAUACCCUAAGUACCCAAUUAUAGAGAAAUGGCGAAUUAUUCUAUACUGAUUCAGUGAAGUGCUAAGUUGCAG
rnacentral:lncRNA from 1 species